GACGAACGCUGGCGGCGUGCCUAACACAUGCAAGUCGAGCGGAGAUUGCAGCAAUGCAAUUUUAGCGGCGGACGGGUGAGUAACGCGUGGGCAACCUGCCUCAGACAGGGGGAUAACACUGGGAAACUAGUGCUAAUACCGCAUAACACCAUUGAGUGGCAUCAUUUGAUGGUCAAAGGAGUAAUCCGGUUUGAGAUGGGCCCGCGUCCGAUUAGCUAGUUGGUGAGGUAAUGGCUCACCAAGGCGACGAUCGGUAGCCGAACUGAGAGGUUGAUCGGCCACAUUGGGACUGAGACACGGCCCAGACUCCUACGGGAGGCAG
rnacentral:rRNA from 1 species